rnacentral:sRNA from 23 species
CGGACAGGGGGGUUCCUGCCACAGAACGGCAGGGCCUGUCCGGCAGGUUGUGCGUGACGAGUCAGGCGCGACCAGUGGUUGUCGCUCGGGGGUGAUCGCCG